AUUGAACGCUGGCGGCAGGCCUAACACAUGCAAGUCGAGCGGAUGAGAAGAGCUUGCUCUUCGAUUCAGCGGCGGACGGGUGAGUAAUGCCUAGGAAUCUGCCUGGUAGUGGGGGACAACGUUUCGAAAGGAACGCUAAUACCGCAUACGUCCUACGGGAGAAAGCAGGGGACCUUCGGGCCUUGCGCUAUCAGAUGAGCCUAGGUCGGAUUAGCUAGUUGGUGAGGUAAUGGCUCACCAAGGCGACGAUCCGUAACUGGUCUGAGAGGAUGAUCAGUCACACUGGAACUGAGACACGGUCCAGACUCCUACGGGAGGCAGCAGUGGGGAAUAUUGGACAAUGGGCGAAAGCCUGAUCCAGCCAUGCCGCGUGUGUGAAGAAGGUCUUCGGAUUGUAAAGCACUUUAAGUUGGGAGGAAGGGUUGUAGAUUAAUACUCUGCAAUUUUGACGUUACCGACAGAAUAAGCACCGGCUAACUCUGUGCCAGCCGCCGCAGUAAAAC
rnacentral:rRNA from 1 species